UUCUCGCACUGUUGCCGGGGCUGGAGUGGAGUGCCGCCAUCUCGGCUCUUGCAACCUCCGCUUCCCGGGUUCACGCAAUUCUCCUGCCUCAGCCUCCCGAGUAGCUGGGAUUACAGGCGUACACCAGCACAUCAGGCUAAAUUUUUGUAUUUUUAGUAGAGACGGGGUUUCACUAUGUUGGCCAGACUGGUCUGGAACUCCUGACCUCGUGAUCCGCCCGCCUUGGCCUCCCAAAGUGCUGGGAUUACAGGCGUGAGCCACCGUGCCCGGUCUGGACUUACUUUAUUAUAUGUUAUAGACAUGUAAUUACAUAUUUUGUAUAGUUGACUACACAGAAACAGGCACUUAGGUCUCCGUUCCUCUAGCCAUUUCUCAACCGUCUCGACCGGCGAGUUUUCGUUGAGGCGAGGGAGCGCUCGCUCCCACAGGUUCGAGGGCGGGGCGGAGCCUUGGGAAACGGGCCCUGGUAAUCUCUGCUCAGUGAGUGGCGCUGCGAAGCUGCUUCUGCCCGGGAAGGAGGAGAGGGGCCUGGAACCGCCGAGGGAACCACCAGUUCCGACGCCCUGGGGAACUUAAAAGAGGAACCAGGUGUACAGGCAGAACAUGAAAGUGGAAAGGAGCGUGACCACUGAAGCACAGCACCACAGGGAGGGGUUUAGUCCUCCGGAUGACUUCGAGCAGGCCUGGAUAAUGUCAGACCUCCCACUAGAGCUGGUGGAGCAGAGUGUUCUCUAACUCCCCCAAAUGAAAGGGAAACUCCCUUUCCCGGUCCACUAAAUAACGGUUGCCUUCCCAAGCACUGGUGCUACCGCAAGACUAAGGUCUGCUAACUAACGGGUGCCUUCCCAGGCACUGGCGCUACUGCAAGACCAAGGUCUGCUAAGUAACGGGUGCCUUCCCAGGCACUGGUUCUACCGCUAGACCAAGGCGUCCUCAAGCAGCCUUUAUCAGGAUGUGACAGAGGACUUUCACUCUUAUCUUCUGCUCACUUCUCACAAUGUCCCUUCAGCUCUUGACUCUGAAUUGGCUGGUCUUUCCUCGGUUAUAAUAAUAAUACAGAGAUUAAUACUAAAAACUAAUGAUUGAUAAUAUCCAUAUAUAAUCAUCUCUAUAUCCUAUUUCUUUUUUUUUUUUUUUGACAUGGAGUUUCACUCUGUCGCCCAGGCUGGAGUGCAGUGGCGUGAUCUCAGCUCACUGCAAGCUCCACCUCCUGGAUUCAUACCAUUCUCUCGCCUCAGCCUCCUGAGUAGCUGGGACUACAGGCGCCUGCCACCAUGCCUAGCUAAUUUUUUGUUUUUGUAUUUUUAGUAGAGACAGGGUUUCACCCUGUUAGCCAGGAUGGUCUCAAUCUCCUGACCUCGUGAUCCGCCCACCUUGGCCUCCCAAGGUGCUGGGAGCCACCGCAUCCAGCUCUAUAUCCUAUUUCUAAUAUAACUUUUCUUAUUCUAACUAUUUUCUUUACUAUAUUAGAACAGGUUGUGCCCUCAGUCUCUUGCCUCAGCACCUGAGUAGGUUUCCGCCUACAUGUAACCAGUGACUUCAAAUAUUCUGUUUUAUCUAAGAAGUACAACGAAGGUCAUGAGAAGCCUGAGUAGGCCUAAACUACAGCUGCCUGGGCACCAUAGUGAAGGUUAUAGGAUAAGCCCAUGCCCAGACAAACCUAGAUAACGGACAUCUGGGUUGCUUGGCAACAGUCAUGUGCAAUCCUGUCUUUGUCCUGCCUCUGUAUCGCUGCUUUUCACACCACUGUAAGCUUGCUUCAAGCUAGCCCACCACCUUCUGUGAAGUAUGUAUAAAAGUCAGAUGCUGUCUUUGUUCCGGGCCCAGUCUUUUGGACGUUGAGUCAGCUGGGCCUGAGUGCACUCAAUAAAGAUUCUCGUUUCAA